GGGCACAUGGUGUAGUUGGUUAUCACAUCCGCUUAGCAUAAAGUAUGCUGAUGGUGCCUGCGGGGGGUGCUGGGUUCAAUUCCCAGUGUGUCCA